rnacentral:lncRNA from 1 species
UUUCUCUGGGAGUCGACUCUUGCUUCCUUAGGAGUCGACCUGCCAACCGUCGGAGUCGACUCGAGUUCUUCGGAAGUCGACUCGGCUCUUAGAGUCCAAAAUGGCUUCUCUGUCUUUCUGUCUGUUACUCCAUGGAGUCGACUCGUACUAUGCUGGAGUCGACUCGGCAAGCAUCGGAGUCGACUCGAAUUCUUCACGAGUCGACUCGUUGACAGGUUCUGAGAUGAAUCUUUCUGUCCGGCUGUCUGUUCUCAGUCGGGGUCGACUCGUAAUGUGCAGGAGUCGACUCGAGCUUGUGCCAGAGCUUCUGAUACGCUUGGAGUCGACUCAUAAUCUUCCGGAGUCGACUCGAGAUUCAGACUUUGGUUCAAAUUGAAUUCCUUACUUAUCCAAAGUGUAUUGAACCAAAGCUAGAGACACUUGAACAUAAAUUUACAAAUAUUUGACUGAAACACUAG